UACGAAGGUCCCAAGCGUUAUCCGGAUUUAUUGGGCUUAAAGGGUGCGUAGGCGGAUUAUUAAGUCAGUGGUGAAAGCUCCAUGCCUAACAUGGAAAUUGCCAUUGAUACUGAUGAUCUUGAGUACAUUUGAAGUGGGCGGAAUGUGUCAUGUAGCGGUGAAAUGCUUAGAUAUGACACAGAACACCGAUUGCGUAGGCAGCUCGCUAAACUGUAACUGACGCUGAGGCACGAAAGCGCGGGGAGCAAACAGG
rnacentral:rRNA from 1 species